CCCCCAGACUCCUACGGGAGGCAGCAGUGAGGAAUAUUGGUCAAUGGGCGGAAGCCUGAACCAGCCAAGUCGCGUGAGGGAAGAAGGCCCUGCGGGUCGCAGACCUCUUUGGACGGGGAGCAAGGCCGCCGACGUGUCGGCGGAAGGAGAGUACCCGUAGAACAAGCAUCGGCUAACUCCGUGCCAGCAGCCGCGGUAAUACGGAGGAUGCGAGCGUUAUCCGGAUUUAUUGGGUUUAAAGGGUGCGCAGGCGGCACGGCAAGCCGGCGGUCAAAUCGCGGGGCUCAACCCCGCCCAGCCGUCGGAACUGCCGGGCUAGAGUGUCGGAGAGGCAAGUGGAAUUCCUAGUGUAGCGGUGAAAUGCGUAGAUAUUAGGAGGAACACCAGUGGCGAAGGCGGCUUGCUGGACGAUGACUGACGUUGAGGCUCGAAAGCGUGGGGAGCAAACAGGAUUAGAUACCCGGGUAC
rnacentral:rRNA from 1 species